rnacentral:rRNA from 1 species
AGUGAACGCUGGCGGUAGGCCUUACACAUGCAAGUCGAACGGCAGCAUGAUCUGACUUUCUUGUUUCGUGUGGCGUGUCGAACGGGGGAGUAAUACACCUGGACGUCUCCUUUUUCGUGGGGGAACUAGUCGGAAAAUUAGCGCAUAUACCAUAUAACCUGUGCGUGUGAAUGGAGGGCCGCAAGGCCUCUUGCUAUAUUAACUGACGAUGUCUGAUUAGCUAGUUGGCGAGGUAAAGGCUCACCAAGGCGACGAUCAGUAGCUGGUCUGAGAGGACGAUCAGCCACACUGGGACUGAGACACGGCCCAGACUCCUACGGGAGGCAGCAGUGGGGAAUAUUGGACAAUGGGCGAAAGCCUGAUCCAGCCAUGCCGCGUGUGUGAAGAAGGCCUUCGGGUUGUAAAGCACUUUUGUCGGGAAAGAAAAGCAUCUGGUUAAUACCUCGGGGCUCUGACGGUACCGAAAGAAUAAGCACCGGCUAACUACGUG